GAUGAACGCUGGCGGCGUGCCUAAUACAUGCAAGUCGAGCGAACGGACGAGAAGCUUGCUCCUCUGAUGUUAGCGGCGGACGGGUGAGUAACACGUGGAUAACCUACCUAUAAGACUGGGAUAAUUUCGGGAAACCGGAGCUAAUACCGGAUAAUAUUUUGAACCGCAUGGUUCAAAAGUGAAAGACGGUCUUGCUGUCACUUAUAGAUGGAUCCGCGCCGCAUUAGCUAGUUGGUAAGGUAACGGCUUACCAAGGCAACGAUGCAUAGCCGACCUGAGAGGGUGAUCGGCCACACUGGAACUGAGACACGGUCCAGACUCCUACGGGAGGCAGCAGUAGGGAAUCUUCCGCAAUGGGCGAAAGCCUGACGGAGCAACGCCGCGUGAGUGAUGAAGGUCUUCGGAUCGUAAAACUCUGUUAUUAGGGAAGAACAAAUGUGUAAGUAACUGUGCACGUCUUGACGGUACCUAAUCAGAAAGCCACGGCUAACUACGUG
rnacentral:rRNA from 1 species